AACCCAUGUUGAGGAUAUUUCUGCAGGAGCUCCAUGAACCUAUCCCAUGUCUCAAAAAGAGACACCUAUUCUAUUUGCACAAAAGUGGAUAUUUCAUUCCUGACCUU